UUCACAAGUGGCCUCACUGGUGAGGUUUACAUUUUACAGGUUUUAAAACCACAUACAUAAUCAAUAUUUCAAAUAGAACAAAGAACACAUAAAACUUAUCAAAUAUACCACUAAAUAAAUUUAUUACGAUAUUUACAACACAGAUAUGCUACAGUAUGCUGCUCUUCACGACUUCACACUUCACGAAUCUCGCAUCAUUGUUGCCGCCAUCUGGAUUGGUGUGUAAGGAGGAAGCGAUCUGAAGCAACAA
rnacentral:lncRNA from 1 species